rnacentral:rRNA from 1 species
GACGAACGCUGGCGGCGUGCUUAACACAUGCAAGUCGAACGGUGAUGCUCCAGCUUGCUGGAGUGGAUCAGUGGCGAACGGGUGAGUAACACGUGAGCAACCUGCCCCAGACUCUGGAAUAAGCGCUGGAAACGGCGUCUAAUACUGGAUACGAAACUGGCCCGCAUGGGCAUGGUUUGGAAAGUUUUUCGGUUUGGGAUGGGCUCGCGGCCUAUCAGCUUGUUGGUGAGGUAAUGGCUCACCAAGGCGACGACGGGUAGCCGGCCUGAGAGGGCGACCGGCCACACUGGGACUGAGACACGGCCCAGACUCCUACGGGAGGCAGCAGGGGGGAAUAUUGCACAAUGGGCGCAAGCCUGAUGCAGCGACGCCGCGUGAGGGAUGACGGCCUUCGGGUUGUAAACCUCUUUCAGCAGGGAAGAAGCGAAAGUGACGGUACCUGCAGAAGAAGCACCGGCUAACUACGUG